AAUCCUUUUGGAUUUUGGUAUUUCAAAACGAAAUUCCAAACUCUCAACGAUGGAUGCCUCGGCUCGAGAAUCGAUGAAGGACGCAGCGAAGUGCGAUAAGCACUGCGAUUUGCAGAAUUCCGUGAACCAGUAGAAAUCUCAACGCAUACUGCACAAAGGGGAUCUUUCCUCUUUGUACAUACAUAUCAGUGUCACUC
rnacentral:rRNA from 1 species